UCCAGGACAGAGAAGACAUGAUGAAAGCAGCAGGCAGCAGGUCUCCAUUGUUGUGAUUGGAGGAAUAAAGAAUGUUGUCUCCACUUUAAACAAUUUUUUAAAAAUAAUUUGUC
rnacentral:lncRNA from 12 species